UUUAUUGUCUGCAUUGUAACGUGUAAGUAGUAUCUAUUCUAAUGUUUCGAGGUUUUCAUUCUUAUUUAUAAAAAAGUAACUUUCUCUGUAACAGAAAGUAUCUGAAAACCAUACAGAUCUGAUUCGGUUACGCUCCAAAUACUAUUUAUCGCUACAUAAAGGAUUCGUUCUACCCGAAAAUAUCAUUGUAUUUUCAUCUAUCGCCAUGAAAUCGUUGAAAAUUGUCAGCUUACUUUGUUUUCUCACUUUAAUAAUAUUUGCGAAUGUAAAAGGUAAUAGAGGAAAAACAACUAUGCAGAGUGAUGCUAUGGAAAUUGGGGAUGUACCACGUGUAAAAAUAAAAGUAUUUCGAGGUUCAAAUAAAGAACAAAAUGGAGAGCAAUUUUCUACGUGGGGAUUUUGGAUCAAACAACCAGCGACAAUGAAAUGAGGGCACGUUAAAUAUCACUUUGUAAUUAUUGCGCGCAUAAAAACUUAUGGUUUAUUUUUUGUAUGAAAUACGAAUGCAUAAAUAUGUAUAUAUUUUAUUGUAGAACAAAAGAAAAGAAUUUUUUUUUUAGUAGAAUAUGUAGGUACAUAAAUUACUUUUUAAAUCUUGCUUAUUAUUUCUUGAUAAAAUAUUGUGAUCGUUAUAAAUUUACAAAUUUAUACACGAACGUAAUCCCUGGGAAUAUAUUAUAUAGAUAUAUGUUUAAAAAUGUAUUACAUAUUUUUAUGCAUGCACUGUUAGUUUCCACAGUGUUGAUUAAAGUUUUGCAAAGAAUAUUACGGGAAUUUCAAUGUCACACAAAAGGAGCUUGAUAUUUUUGAAUGUCAUGAUACCUAAGAAGAAUUCUGUAUAAAAAAUGGAAAUAAAAAUAAAUACUGCACAUGAAUAUUAUAUAUUGUUAUUGAUAAAUACUGUUUAUUAAUAAAAUUAUGUUGUCAAAAAGAAGCGCUUUUAUUUCAACUUAGAAACGAACAUUUCGUACAUUACAAUUCAAUAUCUUUAUAUCGUUUCGAAUCGAGUUCCAUAAAUCGAGUCAGAUUCAAAUAAUAUUAAUGCAUAUGUAAGAUUGAUAAACAAUACUGUAUCAUAAGUACAUGUAUAUCUAUUGUCUGUUUAAGGACUGUAUCAAUUAAAGGU